GACUUCCCUUUUGGGAAACAAACCCAGACUGGAGUACAGUGGCAUAAUCUCAGCUCACUGCAACUCUUACCAGAAAGGUGUCCCAUCCAGACUCCAAGAGAGGGUUCUUGGAUCAUGUGUAAGAAAGAAAGAAUUCCCUGUGAUUCCAUAACGUGAAGGCAAGCUUAUUAAGGAAAUAAAGGAAUAAAAGGAUGGCCACUCCACAGGCAGAGCAGUUGUACGGGCUGCUCAACUGAGUGUA